ensembl:lncRNA
GGGAAGGCUCCCGAGGGCUGUGAGACGGCGCGGACAGAAGGGUCAGGGAGGGCAAUAAAAAUAGACCGCUGCAGCUGGCUCCGGCUUCAAAGCACGUUUGCAAUGCGGGCACAGCACCAGGACGUGCUCCCAUCUGCUGCCUGACUCGCACUGCUCGUUCCCCAGAUCGGCAGCCCUGGACAGAGGUAAGAAGCGAGGGAAGGGCUGAUUCCCCUUGUCGAAUCCUCCAAGCACUGUGGCCGCACAGUUCCCAGCGAUGCCGUGUAUGGCACGUGGCCGUGGAGGCGUGCUCUUCCCCCUGCAGGAGGAGGAGCCUUCCUCGUGCGGCCCGGGGCCGGCAUGGCCGGUGGAGCAGGAAAUGGCAGCUGUGGACACGGGGCUCUGGAGUUGAAUGAAGGCUGAGGUGCUUGGCGCAGGGCCGGUCCCCUCCAGGGGUCCCGGUGUGCCUGGCACCGCAGAUCCAGGCAGGCACCGACCCUCCAGCAGGCGCAGCAGGGCUGGCUUCGGCUGGGAGAGCACCUGCAGCCCACGCUGUGCAUCACCCUGCACCGUACCCUGCGCACAGCCCAGCCAGUGACUGAGAAGGAAGCAGAGAGGGUUCAGGAGAACUGGGGCUUAUUUGAUUCGCUACCCAUCCUGCCAGCCCCUCAGGAUCCGUCUGCGCCCCGCUGACCAGAGGCUGUUUGUGGAGCAAAGGACGCCGUGCACGCAGCCACCCCCUCCCGGCCCCGGCCACCCUUUGCCAGGCGCUGCGUCACCGUGCCCUCGGGCCCUGCAGUCCCGCCGUGUCCCCAUCUCAAGCUUAAUUUGCUGCUCGCUGCUGCGCGGAGCGAUUUUAAUCUCUUAAUCACGUUAUGAGCAGAGGUGGUGCUGGGCGCGCGCAGGAGGAAUGUCUGGAAGUCAGCUGCGUCUGGCGCGGCGGGAGCCCGUCCUGUCCCGGCCACGUGUCCCCACCGCAGCCCGCCUGGUGACAGCCGUCCCACUUCGCCCUGCCCGGCCAGCAGCGCGAGGGCGGGUGGCACUGUGCAGACCGGGGGCAGGCAGGGCUGCGUCCGG